GCUCCCUCCGCCGCCACUCAGACUCCUACGGCAGGAAGCAGUGGGAAUUUGCGCAAUGGGGAAACCUGACGCAGCAACGCCGCGUGGAGGAUGAAAUACUCGUUGGUAUGUAACUCCUUCGAUGGGAAGAUUAUGACGGUACCCAUAGAAGAAGCCCGCUACUUCGUGCCAGCAGCCGCGGUAAUAC
rnacentral:rRNA from 1 species